GACCAAGGGUUCCAGGGCUAGGCUAAUCCGCCCUGGGUAAGUCGGGACCUAAGGCGAGGCCGACAGGCGUAGUCGAUGGACAACCAGUUGAUAUUCUGGUACCGACACACAACCGACAAUACCAAAACACAUGAGACUAACUCCCCGGUCCACCCGUGGCGUCUUCGGAUGUCUGGUUGGUGGGUUGGUGAGGACCUGAGUGUGGAGUCGGUAAGCGUGAGGUGUGACGCAGAAAGGUAGCCAGGCCACGCGAUGGUAGUCGUGGUCUAAGGUCGUAGCAUGUGGGGGUA
rnacentral:rRNA from 1 species